rnacentral:snoRNA from 1 species
UGAUAACCAAAAUUGAAAGAUUUAUUUUAUUAAUUUUAAAUUUCUGUUUU